rnacentral:rRNA from 1 species
GGUACUCGAGCGGCGAACGGGUGAGUAACACGUGAGUAAUCUGCCCUGCGCUCUGGGAUAGCCACCGGAAACGGUGAUUAAUACCGGAUAGGACCACUUCACGCAUGUGAUGGUGGUGGAAAGUUUUUUCGGCGCAGGAUGUGCUCGCGGCCUAUCAGCUUGUUGGUGAGGUAACGGCUCACCAAGGCUUUGACGGGUAACCGGCCUGAGAGGGUGACCGGUCACACUGGGACUGAGACACGGCCCAGACUCCUACGGGAGGCAGCAGUGGGGAAUAUUGGACAAUGGGCGGAAGCCUGAUCCAGCAACGCCGCGUGAGGGAUGACGGCCUUCGGGUUGUAAACCUCUUUCAGUACCGACGAAGCGAAAGUGACGGUAGGUACAGAAGAAGGACCGGCCAACUACGUGCCAGCAGCCGCGGUAAUACGUAGGGUCCGAGCGUUGUCCGGAAUUAUUGGGCGUAAAGGGCUCGUAGGCGGUUUGUCGCGUCGGGAGUGAAAACACCGGGCUUAACUCGGUGCUUGCUUUCGAUACGGGCAGACUAGAGGUAUGCAGGGGAGAAUGGAAUUCCUGGUGUAGCGGUGAAAUGCGCAGAUAUCAGGAGGAACACCGGUGGCGAAGGCGGUUCUCUGGGCAUUACCUGACGCUGAGGAGCGAAAGUGUGGGGAGCGAACAGGAUUAGAUACCCUGGUAGUCCACACCGUAAACGUUGGGCGCUAGGUGUGGGGCCUAUUCC